GGGUGAAAUGAUCAAAAUGCCCUUCGUUGAACUUAUCGAGUUACAAUUGUCCUUAUCGAUUGGCUUAAUUUUCCUAGAUUUUCUUUCGCAUUUUUAUUGUCAUUUAGACUUCAUAACUCCUUCGAUUAAGUUCCAAUAUUUAUCUUACAGGGUUUCUUAUGAGUCUGGGAUUAGCAACUGUCAUAACAGUCGCUUCCCGUCGUGGUUACCCAUCGCCGUGACUCCGGUUCCUUUAACCGAGUUGCACUUCGCUCCUUUUAUUUUUCCUUGAUUUUACUU
rnacentral:misc_RNA from 1 species